UUAGACAAACUAGAGGAUUUUCUUGUUAUUUUGUUGAACAAAUAUUUCUUGUGGUCAAUGUGACCACCGGGCUGUGGAGGCUGAAAGAACACUGUUGUGAUUGUUCUUCUGAAGUCAAAUGUUUAAACUGCAACCUGUUGUUACUCUGUGAAAUACUUGGUUCCACUCCUGAUUGGUUGACUCAAGUAUUCCAUAGGGACAGUGGGGAUGUGUCCCCCCACCCCCACUUUUUGUCAAGGGUCAUUUUGUCUCCACCACAUUCAAAUUCUUCACAUGUAAGCCGUUGUAACCCCAGUUAUUUUCAGCAGUAUAGAAAAUUCCGACGCUCCUGAACGCACCAUCCACACUCGGCAGAGAGUUGCACAGACAUGCAGCACACCUUCGUGAGGUUAAAAAAAACGUGCAGAUGCUAAAUUUGCGCCUGUGCCAAGUGAAAGUUCCGACCCAGGGUGUGCAUUUCCAUCUGACAAUGGCUGUGAACUGCAACUGUAAGCGCUGGAAGUCCUACAGGUCCAGACUUGUAGGCCACAGCUUGUCUCUGUGGACAUGGUAGACAGCCACACUGUUGAGCCUCGCCUGGGACAUGCUUUCAGACGCCGCAAAGCACUGAAGCUUCUCUCCGCUUCACAGGAGGACACUGGGACCACCAGCAAGAGCUCGACCAGGAUCUCCACUUGGUUGAAGAGCCUUCGAACCUCUGGUGCCAUGCUCUUUAGUAUUUGGGUAACCUCUUUGGUGGUGUUGAACUAGGGCUGGGCGAUUUGGUCUAAAAAAAAAAAUCUCCAAUUUUUUAAAGAAAAAUUCGAGUUUCGAUUUGAUUUUUUCUUUCAAUGCACUUAAAAAUUACUGCAGACAUCAGAUAUACUGUCAAAAGUAACUUUAUUGCUGUAAUUGUCCUCAGAAUAAAAAAACGCAUGUAAACAAUUUAAUGAACAAGUUAAUGACGCAAGUUAAUGAGGCUCUGUAAUUCAACAAUUUCCCCAGGAACUGAGAGCAUCUUUUAAUCCGUGGGCAAUUAUUUCACCGGUGUGGUAAUUGGGGAAAUAUGCUGUCUGGAGGCAGAUGCUGUGCAUGGUCCAGCUGUCGUUGCACUGUGAGACUCAUGUACGGCUGCAUUGUCCGGCCACCUCCUCCAGCUCGUUGCGGAUCUUUUGCCGAGUGGUAUUGUACAGGUGAGGCAGCGCCACAUCGGCGAAAUACUUGCGACUGGGUACAACGUACCUUGCAUCUAACACUUUCAACAGCUGCAGUCAAUUCCAGCCAUUUUCAGUACAAAAAGUCGCUAAUAUUCUAUUUGUAAAUAAAAAUAUGACGAGAAAUACAGGGAAUUUUGGACGCGCAUCGCGAGGUGCAUUUCCUUGAAAACGACCGAUUCGUGGAUUAUAUACCGACUUCAGGACAUGUUUUGGACAAAAUCGUUUACUGGCUUGUGUCGUCUGGAUGUAAAAGGUUGGAUUAUGGCCGUUUUUUGUGGAAUAUUUUCAUCUGUGUGUAAUACUGAACCCGGAAAUGCGAGUCGCGCUGGAUGGAUGGAUAUUCGUUGUUUGUCGGACAAAUGUGUUUAUAUUAUCCGCUGUGGUAAUCACAUCUGAAUGUGGUUUAUACCGGCGGAUUCAUGAGAAUCUAAGCUUUCCAUCGAUGUGUAGUGUUUGUAUAAUCGCAUUUGGAGCCUUCGGACAUUCUUGAAAUUCCUAUGCAAAUUAGUAAGUGUACCGCCGGCGGUACACUGAAGUUUUAAACAUACUUUGCAGCGAGGCUUUGUCUGUUGUUCGUCUGAAGCAUCAAAACCGAACCAGUUCCAAAUGAUUGAGUUAGCUGUGCCUUUCUUUUGAAUGAGUUCUCUGUUACAUGCUGCCGCUGCCACGGGGAAGGGGGCUGUGUCACACCACGCUACGGAAGCCCACGAGGAAUGGGCGGACGGAAAGCGAAAGAUGCCGGAAAACUGCGGGGAAAAACUCGAGUUUGCAAAAUAAAAAUCUUUUUUAGCAACAAAUUCGAUAAAUCGAUUAAAUCUGUUUUUUGCCCAGCCCUAUGUUGAACUGGUGAUUUGAUUUCAACAUGGCAAGUUGGAUUUGUAAUGCUUGCUUAUCUAGCUCUGGAUACAAAUCAAGCAUGUCAGUGCCGUUUCUGAUGUUUCCACAAAUCAGCAGGUUCUCCAGCUUGACAAGGUUAUUCAGGCCUUCCUGGUCAAACCGAUCAGUCAGAUGGCUGGUGACUGUGUCAAUGGCUUUGAAGAACUCUACCCGGAAGUACUCCUCAGGGGUUGCAGGGGUAUGAUGUUGCGCUGGACCACCAUACCUUUUGGAUGGUUUUCUGACAUGAGGCAGCUGUAGUGGCAGAAGGUCCAUGGACAAUAUGAAGUCUGAAGCCUUCUCAUAGAGGACCUUAAAGACUCGCGUUCAAAUGUUCCAACCUCGUCAGGACAGCUUGCCUCAGGAGAAGACCAAGCACUGUACUUCUUUUUUGCAGCCUUUCGAGGAUACCAUUGGCUUGGGAGGCAGUGUCCAUCCCACUUACAGAGGCCAUUUCCUCCAGUGCAGCUAAGACAGCCUCAGACUGCCUCAGGACUGGCUGGAUUGCUGGUGUUCGCACUGUCCGCACUGUCCAUCUGAUGGCACACAGAGGCUUGAUUGUGCUGAAGGAGCCUGUGGUGAUCUUUGUGAUUUCUUUAAAAAUUUCUUUCGACUUCCGGGUUCACAGGUAGAUGGUGUAGACAGAUUUAAUUAAAAGCCCAGUAGUCAAACACUCUCUAAAGAUAUGGUCUCAAUUUAGGAAGUAUUUCGGUUGUUGUGCUUUUUCCCUUCUAAGUCCCAUUGCUUCAAACCAUCUCUUUAAACCAUCAUUGCAAGACUCUGUUUUUCAAGAAUAGCAUAAUAAGGGUAUUCUAAGCUUUAAAGAUUUAUACAUUGGUAAUAGCAUGACAUCAUUUGAACAGCUGUGCAAAAAUUCAGUCUUUCUAAAUCAAACUUUUUCAGGUACCUUCAGGUGAGACAUUUUGUUCUCACUCAGUUUUCAGGCUCUCCUGCAUUAGCAGAAUCAUCUUUAGUUGAUACUGUCCUUUCCUUAGAUCCAUCAAGGAGAGGACUAAUUUCAACUUUAUACGGCAUGAUUUUAGAUUUCAGACAUGCUUCCACAGAAAGGCUGAGAUUAGCAUGGGAGGAAGAUCUAGGUCUGUCCCUGUCAGAAGAUAUUUGGACAUCUGCACUCAAAUUGGUUAACUCUACCUCUUUAUGUGCUCGUCACUGUUUAAUCCAAUUUAAAGUGGUGCACAGAGCUCACAUAUCCAAAACAAGAUUAUCGUCUAUGUACCCUGAUAUAAGCCCACUUUGUGACAAAUGCAAAUCUGCUGACGCUUCUCUUAUCCACAUGUAUUGGUCCUGUUCUAGUCUUAAUAAAUACUGGAGAGACAUUUUUACAAACCUUUCUAAAAUAUUCAAUAUUAAGUUAGAGCCAAAUCCUUUGACUGCUUUAUUUGGGAUCAUAGGUAGGGAGGUGCAGCUACCUGCAGUGAAGCGCCGCACUUCGUCCUUUGCCUCUUUGCUUGCUCGGAGAGCAGUCCUGCUGAGGUGGAGGGACAGUUUACCUCCCACUCAUGAACAAUGGCUUGAGGACAUCAUGACUUGCUUAAAACUAGAGAAAAUUAGAUUUUCCCUCCAGCAUUCUAAUGGGAAAUUUGAGAAAAUUUGGGGUCCAUUUCUAAGUACAUUCCAGACUCUAUAGUAGCUUAAUCAACAGGUGCUCCUUAGUAUCUCUAACAAUAUCACAUUAGUUUACUUGGACAGACUUUUGAUGUGACAGUGCCUCCAUGAUUUGUUUGUUGGGCUGGUAGUGAUUAGGGAGGGAUUGUUUUUAUUUCUGGUUUUUGUAAGAGUAUAGGUUUUGUACUUCUUACUUUGUUUCUGUUCCAUUUUUUAAAAAUUUUAUUAUCAUUUAUACUUGUUUGUUGAAUUAUUAUUUAAUAGGUGCCUGCUGUUAUUUUGUGAACCAAUGGCAUGGUUUUGCUUUACAGUCAUCCAGCACUACACCUUUGUAUUAUAACAUGAAAAAUUUCAAUAAAAAAAUUUUGAAUAAAAAAAUAAAAAAUUCUUUGAAUUUUCCAGACUGGCCAAACGAGCAGCCCAGCUCGUGGAUCCACUGCAGAGCAUCUCUGAUCACUGGUGUAGAGGAACAGGCUGCCUGUGUGACCAAGUUCAUGCAGUGAGGACCACAGUGGACAAAAGUGGCCAGUGGCUGCUCUUUGCGAAUAAGAGCUUGUGUGCCUGAUAAGUGACCUGACAUGUUGGCUGCUCCAUCAUAGGUUUGACCUCGGAGACCUGAAAGUGGGAGAUUAAGACGGAGCAGCACAUCUGAGGCAAUUCUCCAAAGUUGCUCCCCUUUUGUGGAGGGGGCUUCAUAAAGGCAGACAAAUUCCUCCCGUGGGCUCAGAUCCUCAUCCACAUAGUGGAGGCAAAGGGAGAUCUGUUCUGUGCCAGUUAUGUCCUGUGUCCCAUCCAUUAAUGAGUAUUGCAGCACAGCCACGUGGCCAGAUUGGGAUCAUUCUCCACCUGAAGAAGAACAAGUGACGAUGUUUGAUGUCCAAAGGCACUAACACAGUAGAAGCACAGAACUCCCUCUCUUUCUGGACUGUAGUGGAGCCAUGGGUAGCCCUUGUACCAGCUGUCUUGGAACCGGAGGGUUCUGUUUGCCAGUAUUUGUGGCUGAAUUAACUUGGCUGAUGGCUGAUAUGGUGAGGCCAAAGCUUUAUCAGGUUUUCAAGAUACAAUUCCUCUCCCCUGUACAUCUGUACUUCCUUCUUGUUCUUGAACACUACCAGCUGCAGUCUGGAAUUCCACUUGCUGUGAAGAUAUCUGGACAACUUUGCUUGUCCAAGCUGAGUUGGCAAAUGAGAUCAAUAUUCAACAUCAAUGACCUCACCUCGUCAUUCUCAGUCACCUGUUCUGGCAGCUCUUUGUUUAUUUCUGUUGACCUCUGCUCCUAGACAAAUAAAAUAAUGGAAAAACACA